rnacentral:rRNA from 1 species
GAGUUUGAUUCUGGCUCAGGAUGAACGCUGGCGGCGUGCUUAACACAUGCAAGUCGAACGGGCGAAUUAUAUCGGAGGUCUUCGGGCCGAAGAGAUAAUAAGCUAGUGGCGGACGGGUGCGUAACGUGUGGGUAAUCUGCCUUUGUCAUAGGAAUAACUGCUUGAAAAAGUAGCUAAUACCAAAUAACAUAUCGUAUAGGCAUCUAUAAGAUAUCAAAGAGAAAUCGGACAAAGAUGAGCCCGCAUCUGAUUAGCUAGUUGGUAGGGUAAAAGCCUACCAAGGCGACGAUCAGUAGCCGGCCUGAGAGGGUGAACGGCCACAUUGGAACUGAGACACGGUCCAAACUCCUACGGGAGGCAGCAGUGGGGAAUAUUGCACAAUGGGGGGAACCCUGAUGCAGCAACGCCGCGUGAGUGAAGAAGGCUUUCGAGUCGUAAAACUCUGUUGUAAGGGAAGAUAAAGACGGUACCUAAAAGA